GGCUCGGGAAAUGGCUAUGUAGGAGCCUAUCCUGGUUGCAGGCCUGCAAGAGACAGCCACUGAGAACUAGGAUCGGACUAAGGGAUGGCCUCACUUAGAAAAGGCCCAAAUUGCUUAAAAGAUAAAGGACAAUGGCACACUUGAGGGGAAAGCUAUACUCCCCCAGAGAACAAAGAAAAGACUCACUUUGCCAAAUACAGAAAUGGACUCAUUUAGGAGAUAAAAAGUUUGUCCAAGUAGUUACGUGUAUGUAAUAGACUUUAAGAUUUUAGCCAGAGAGGCAGUAGAAAGUAUAAGGUAUGUCAGUAGUGAAUGCUUAGCAAGCAAACAGGGCAAAGAGACCUAGAGAGUUUAGUGAAAAGUCGAAGUGAACUUCACUGAGAUAAAACCAGAAAAAUAUAAUCACAAGUAUCUCCUAGUGCUUGUAGAUACUUUUUUAGGAAUAGAUAGAAGCUUUCCUCACCAAACGAGAGAUGGCCUCUGCAAUCAUCAAGAAGAUACUGGAAGAAAUCUUCCCCCGAUUUGGAAUGCCCAAGGUAAUCUGGUCAGACAACGGCCCUACUUUCGUUGCCAAGGUAAGCCAGGGUGUGGCCAAGUAUUUAGAGGUCGAUUGGAAAUUACAUUGUAUUUACAGACCUCAAAGUUCAGGACAGGUAGAGUAAAUAAAUAGAACUCUAAAAGAGACCCUGACCAAAUUAACCAUGGAGACUGGCGCAGACUGGGUGACACUCCUUCCCUCUUGCUCUCUUCAGAGCAAGAAAUACCCCUUCCAGAUUCAGCCUUACCCCCUUUGAGAUCUU
rnacentral:lncRNA from 1 species